AUUGAACGCUGGCGACAUGCCUUACACAUGCAAGUCGAACGGCAGCACGGGUGCUUGCACCUGGUGGCGAGUGGCGAACGGGUGAGUAAUACAUCGGAACAUGUCCUGUAGUGGGGGAUAGCCCGGCGAAAGCCGGAUUAAUACCGCAUACGAUCUACGGAUGAAAGCGGGGGACCUUCGGGCCUCGCGCUAUAGGGUUGGCCGAUGGCUGAUUAGCUAGUUGGUGGGGUAAAGGCCUACCAAGGCGACGAUCAGUAGCUGGUCUGAGAGGACGAACAGUCACACUGGGACUGAGACACGGCCCAGACUCCUACGGGAGGCAGCAGUGGGGAAUUUUGGACAAUGGGCGAAAGCCUGAUCCAGCAAUGCCGCGUGUGUGAAGAAGGCCUUCGGGUUGUAAAGCACUUUUGUCCGGAAAGAAAUCCUUGGCCCUAAUACGGUCGGGGGAUGACGGUACCGGAAGAAUAAGCACCGGCUAACUACGUG
rnacentral:rRNA from 1 species